UUGCGAUGAUGACACUAGGACACCUUUGUAUGAACCAUGAAACAACUUGAGAAUAUCUGAGCAAU